rnacentral:tRNA from 1 species
AGACUAGUAGCGGAGUGGUCAAACGCGCGAGAUUUAAGAAUUAAACCUUUUGGCGCAGGACACAGGCUCCGGACGCCGAGACCCGCAGAUGCUGCGGUGUCCUAUUCCUCGUCCUUCGGGUUCGUGGGUUCGAACCCCACCUAGUCUA